UUAAAAUGAGAGUUUGAUCCUGGCUCAGGACGAACGCUGGCGGCGUGCCUAAUACAUGCAAGUCGAGCGAGCGGAACUAACAGAUUUACUUCGGUAAUGACGUUAGGAAAGCGAGCGGCGGAUGGGUGAGUAACACGUGGGGAACCUGCCCCAUAGUCUGGGAUACCACUUGGAAACAGGUGCUAAUACCGGAUAAGAAAGCAGAUCGCAUGAUCAGCUUUUAAAAGGCGGCGUAAGCUGUCGCUAUGGGAUGGCCCCGCGGUGCAUUAGCUAGUUGGUAAGGUAAAGGCUUACCAAGGCGAUGAUGCAUAGCCGAGUUGAGAGACUGAUCGGCCACAUUGGGACUGAGACACGGCCCAAACUCCUACGGGAGGCAGCAGUAGGGAAUCUUCCACAAUGGACGCAAGUCUGAUGGAGCAACGCCGCGUGAGUGAAGAAGGUUUUCGGAUCGUAAAGCUCUGUUGUUGGUGAAGAAGGAUAGAGGUAGUAACUGGCCUUUAUUUGACGGUAAUCAACCAGAAAGUCACGGCUAACUACGUGCCAGCAGCCGCGGUAAUACGUAGGUGGCAAGCGUUGUCCGGAUUUAUUGGGCGUAAAGCGAGCGCAGGCGGAAGAAUAAGUCUGAUGUGAAAGCCCUCGGCUUAACCGAGGAACUGCAUCGGAAACUGUUUUUCUUGAGUGCAGAAGAGGAGAGUGGAACUCCAUGUGUAGCGGUGGAAUGCGUAGAUAUAUGGAAGAACACCAGUGGCGAAGGCGGCUCUCUGGUCUGCAACUGACGCUGAGGCUCGAAAGCAUGGGUAGCGAACAGGAUUAGAUACCCUGGUAGUCCAUGCCGUAAACGAUGAGUGCUAAGUGUUGGGAGGUUUCCGCCUCUCAGUGCUGCAGCUAACGCAUUAAGCACUCCGCCUGGGGAGUACGACCGCAAGGUUGAAACUCAAAGGAAUUGACGGGGGCCCGCACAAGCGGUGGAGCAUGUGGUUUAAUUCGACGCAACGCGAAGAACCUUACCAGGUCUUGACAUCUAGUGCCAUUUGUAGAGAUACAAAGUUCCCUUCGGGGACGCUAAGACAGGUGGUGCAUGGCUGUCGUCAGCUCGUGUCGUGAGAUGUUGGGUUAAGUCCCGCAACGAGCGCAACCCUUGUUAUUAGUUGCCAGCAUUAAGUUGGGCACUCUAAUGAGACUGCCGGUGACAAACCGGAGGAAGGUGGGGAUGACGUCAAGUCAUCAUGCCCCUUAUGACCUGGGCUACACACGUGCUACAAUGGGCAGUACAACGAGAAGCGAGCCUGCGAAGGCAAGCGAAUCUCUGAAAGCUGUUCUCAGUUCGGACUGCAGUCUGCAACUCGACUGCACGAAGCUGGAAUCGCUAGUAAUCGCGGAUCAGCACGCCGCGGUGAAUACGUUCCCGGGCCUUGUACACACCGCCCGUCACACCAUGGGAGUCUGCAAUGCCCAAAGCCGGUGGCCUAACCUUCGGGAAGGAGCCGUCUAAGGCAGGGCAGAUGACUGGGGUGAAGUCGUAACAAGGUAGCCGUAGGAGAACCUGCGGCUGGAUCACCUCCUUUCUAAGGAA
rnacentral:rRNA from 1 species